ensembl:lncRNA
GUGUCUAGUGGAGGAGCAACAGGCCGUAGGGGGAGGUGUCUAGUGGAGGAGCAACGGGCCGUAGGGGGAGGUGUCUAGUGGAGGAGCAACAGGCCGUAGGGGGAGGUGUCUAGUGGAGGAGCAACGGGCCGUAGGGGAGGUGUCUAGUGGAGGAGCCACGGGCCGUAGGGGGAGGUGUCUAGUGGAGGAGCAACAGGCCGUAGGGGGAGGUGUCUAGUGGAGGAGCAACGGGCCGUAGGGGGAGGUGUGCAGGGAAGACUGUAGCUUCCAGAAUGAAUCGUUCUAUGGCAGCCUCCUUGUAGGACAGGCAGAAACGGUGGGACAACUUUUUUCACAGGGUUGUUGGAAAA